rnacentral:misc_RNA from 1 species
UCGAACCCUGCAAAGCAGAACGACCCGCGAACACGUAAAAACAACCGAGCGUCGAUUGGAUUAAGCACUUGUUUGAUCCUCUUGAUGCUUUGUCGAUGUGCAUUUACUUAUGUUCUUUUGGACAUGGUGAAUGUGUCAUUGGCGCAAUAACAACCCCCGGCACAAUGUGUGCCAAGGAAAACUAAACUUAAGAAGGCUUGUUUUAUGUUGCCCCGUUCGCGGUGUGCUCAUGAGACGUGGCUUCUUUAUAAUCA